UACGUGGGGUGCGAGCGUUGUUCGGAAUUACUGGGCGUAAAGAGCACGUAGGCGGGCUCGUAUGUCAAUUGUGAAAGCCCCGGGCUUAACCUGGGAAUAGCAGUUGAAACUGCGAGUCUUGAGUGUCUGAGAGGAUGGGAGAAUUGCUGGUGUAGUAGUGAAAUACGUAGAUAUCAGCAGGAAUACCUGAGGCGAAGGCGCCUAUCUGGCAGCGCACUGACGCUGAGGUGCGAAAGCGUGGGGAGCAAAC
rnacentral:rRNA from 1 species